rnacentral:tRNA from 1 species
AAGAUUUUAAGUUAAAAAAAACUAUUUACCUUCAAAGUAAAAAUUAUUAUCAAUAAAUCUUA